rnacentral:sRNA from 1 species
ACCCCUCGCAGGCAGGCACAUGUGCUCGGGCCCAGGGCCCAGGGUGCAGCGGGGGUCGUGGAGCAACUGGGGAGACACGGGCUGGCAGGUCUGGAAGGCAGGACUGUGGGGUCACCUCCCUGGCCUACAAAGGGAGCAGGGACAGAUGGGGUGGGAAGGGGCAGACGGCGACGGGGAAGCAGAGAGAGAGAUAGGAGAGGCUGCACAGGCCAGGGCAGCCGGGGAGGGCAGGAUGGUCCCUGACAGUCCUGGGAUUCCCCCUCCCCGCCCCCACCUCAUGUAGAUCAAGAGUGGGGAGAACGCGGCCAACAUCGCCAGCGAGCUGGCCCGACACACCCGGGGCUCCAUCUACGCGGGGGACGUCUCCUCCUCCGUGAAGCUGAUGGAGCAGCUGCUGGACAUCCUGGAUGCCCAGCUGCAGGCCCUGCGGCCCAUCGAGCGCGAGUCAGCUGGCAAGAACUACAACAAGAUGCACAAGCGAGAGAGAACUUGUAAGGAUUAUAUCAAGGCCGUGGUGGAGACAGUGGACAAUCUGCUCCGGCCAGAAGCUCUGGAGUCCUGGAAGGACAUGAAUGCCACGGAGCAGGUGCACACGGCCACCAUG